rnacentral:rRNA from 1 species
UACGUAGGGCGCAAGCGUUGUCCGGAUUUAUUGGGCGUAAAGAGCUCGUAGGCGGCCUGUCGCGUCGACCGUGAAAACCCGCAGCUCAACUGCGGGCUUGCGGUCGAUACGGGCAGGCUGGAGUUCGGUAGGGGAGACUGGAAUUCCUGGUGUAGCGGUGAAAUGCGCAGAUAUCAGGAGGAACACCGGUGGCGAAGGCGGUUCUCUGGGCAUGUCCUGACGCUGAGGAGCGAAAGUGUGGGGAGCGAACAGG